AUUUCAUUAAAAUGGUGUUCCCAAAGAUCAAAGAUUCUACUCAGGGAGGAAUUAUGCUAUUUAUUAGUUCUUACUUCGAAUAUGUGAGACUUCGCAACUAUUUGAAGUCACAGAUUGCAUCUUUCUGCGUACUAGCAGACUACACUGAACCGAGUGACGUAUCUCGUGCUCGAGUUUGGUUUUUUGAAGGGAGAAAGAAGAUCAUGCUUUAUACCGAGAGAGUUCAUUUCUUCCACAGAUAUAAGAUUCGGGGCAUUCAAAACUUGAUUGUCUAUUCUCUCCCAGAGAGGAAGGAGUUCUAUCCUGAGGUGGUUAACAUGCUUGAAGGGGCCAAUAACAUGACAUGCACUGUACUUUUUUCUCAAUUUGAUCAAAUACGGCUGGAAAGAAUCGUUGGAACUGCUUCUGCAAGAAGGAUGAUCAAAUCGGAAAAGAAUGUCUUUUUAUUCUGUUAGAAGACUUGUUCGUUCUCUAUAAAGUUUCACUACUGCAACAUGGAAAGUCUGGAAGCUCGACGGGCUAACCAAAACCAUUUGAUUGCUAACAACUCAUCUGGCAGAAGAAUUGAUAUAAUUAGCUUAGAAUGACAAAAUUAUGAUGGUAGCAUUCUAAGAGGGAUUUUCCCAAAAAAAAAAAAAAGUG
rnacentral:misc_RNA from 1 species